GAUGAACGCUGGCGGCGUGCCUAAUACAUGCAAGUCGAGCGAACAGACGAGGAGCUUGCUCCUCUGACGUUAGCGGCGGACGGGUGAGUAACACGUGGAUAACCUACCUAUAAGACUGGGAUAACUUCGGGAAACCGGAGCUAAUACCGGAUAAUAUAUUGAACCGCAUGGUUCAAUAGUGAAAGACGGUUUUGCUGUCACUUAUAGAUGGAUCCGCGCCGCAUUAGCUAGUUGGUAAGGUAACGGCUUACCAAGGCAACGAUGCGUAGCCGACCUGAGAGGGUGAUCGGCCACACUGGAAGUGAGGCACGGUCCAGACUCCGACGGGAGGCAGCAGUAGGGAAUCUUCCGCAAUGGGCGAAAGCCUGACGGAGCAACGCCGCGGGAGUGAUGAAGGUCUUCGGAUCGGAAAACUCUGUUAUUAGGGAAGAACAAAUGUGUAAGUAACUAUGCACGUCUUGACGGUACCUAAUCAGAAAGCCACGGCUAACUACGUG
rnacentral:rRNA from 1 species